UAGGGAAUCUUCCACAAUGGACGAAAGUCUGAUGGAGCAACGCCGCGUGAAUGAAGAAGGCCUUCGGGUCGUAAAAUUCUGUUGUCAGAGAAGAACGUGCGUGAGAGUAACUGUUCACGUAUUGACGGUAUCUGACCAGAAAGCCACGGCUAACUACGUGCCAGCAGCCGCGGUAAUACGUAGGUGGCGAGCGUUGUCCGGAUUUAUUGGGCGUAAAGGGAACGCAGGCGGUCUUUUAAGUCUGAUGUGAAAGCCUUCGGCUUAACCGAAGUAGUGCAUUGGAAACUGGAAGACUUGAGUGCAGAAGAGGGGGGUGGAACUCCAUGUGUAGCGGUGAAAUGCGUAGAUAUAUGGAAGAACACCAGUGGCGAAAGCGGCUCUCUGGUCUGUAACUGACGAUGAGGUUCGAAAGCGUGGGUAGCAAACAGG
rnacentral:rRNA from 2 species